rnacentral:rRNA from 1 species
ACGUAGGAGGCGAGCGUUAUCCGGAUUUACUGGGCGUAAAGCGCGUGCAGGCGGUUCGGCAAGUUGGGUGUGAAAUCUCCCGGCUCAACUGGGAGGAGUCGCUCAAUACUACCGGACUUGAGGGCAGUAGAGGAAGGUGGAAUUCCCGGUGUAGUGGUGAAAUGCGUAGAUAUCGGGAGGAACACCAGUGGCGAAAGCGGCCUUCUGGACUGUACCUGACGCUCAUACGCGAAAGCUAGGGGAGCGAACGGGA